rnacentral:misc_RNA from 1 species
UUUCCGUAGGUGAACCUGCGGAAGGAUCAUUAAAAGGUUUCUCUCGGGGCGGGUAAUACCGUUCCCUGGAGAACUCCACCCUUGUGUACUAUUCUUUGUUGCUUUGGUGGGUCGUGCGAUCGCCUAGCGAUUCAGUACCGGCUUUGGCUGCAGAGCGUCUACCUGAGGACCCAACUCAGUUACUUAUGUCGUCUGAGUACUAUUUAAUAGUUAAAACUUUCAACAACGGAUCUCUUGGUUCUG